GAUUAUUAUCCCAUAUAAAUGUAUAAAAAUUUUAAAAUUUUAUUUUAUUGGGAAAAAAUUGAUAAAUCCCUCAAAUAAAAAAUAGAACGUGGAAACUGAAAACUGCACCCCCGUUGAGCAAAAAGCUGUUUGAUAAAUCCUUCCACAAAUCUCAUUUAAAUUCAAGAAUCAGAAAAGAGAAACGUGCACAGAGUCUCCAUCUUACGAAAUUCCCAAUUUCUUCUCAACCAGGUUCACUACAUAUUAUCUGAUUACACAAAUAUAUUUUUUAUAGCAAAUUGUUUAUCCGUUCAUUGCAAAGGCGCGAGAGAGGAUGAAACAGAGAGAUAAAUUGACAAAGAGUCUUCCUCGGUGGAUGUACUCAUUAAUCUUGAGUGACGAAGAUAUUGCUAUCAAGUUUUUAAGAACUUGGAAUUAUCACAAAGUUUGGUUUACGAAUGCUUGGAAUAGAGAUGGUUUCAGGGAAGAAAGAUAUGAUGGAGUAAUACUUUGCACAGGCAAGGAAGAGGAGAAACAUGUCUUGGUUUGCAUGUAUGUGGAUAUUGGUUUCUCCUUUUUAGCUAACAUUUUUAUUAUGUUAUGCUUAAUUUACUGCCGAUAUGAUUUUUCUUUAUUUUUUAGCUAACAUUUUUAUUAUGUUAUGCUUAAAAUGCUUAAUAUACAUUUUUGUAUAUUAAGGUUGUCUUUUUGUGCAGUUUAUUUACU